UACGUAGGGUGCAAGCGUUAAUCGGAAUUACUGGGCGUAAAGCGUGCGCAGGCGGUUGUGCAAGACCGAUGUGAAAUCCCCGGGCUUAACCUGGGAAUGGCAUUGGUGACUGCACGGCUAGAGUGUGUCAGAGGGGGGUAGAAUUCCACGUGUAGCAGUGAAAUGCGUAGAGAUGUGGAGGAAUGACCGAUGGCGAAGGCAGCCCCCUGGGAUAACACUGACGCUCAUGCACAGAAAGCGUGGGGAGCAAACACGG
rnacentral:rRNA from 1 species